GAGUUUGAACCUGGCUCAGGAUGAACGCUGGCGGCGUGCCUAAUACAUGCAAGUCGAGCGAACAGAUAAGGAGCUUGCUCCUUUGAAGUUAGCGGCGGACGGGUGAGUAACACGUGGGUAACCUACCUAUAAGACUGGGAUAACUUCGGGAAACCGGAGCUAAUACCGGAUAAUAUUUAGAACCGCAUGGUUCUAAAGUGAAAGAUGGUUUUGCUAUCACUUAUAGAUGGACCCGCGCCGUAUUAGCUAGUUGGUAAGGUAACGGCUUACCAAGGCGACGAUACGUAGCCGACCUGAGAGGGUGAUCGGCCACACUGGAACUGAGACACGGUCCAGACUCCUACGGGAGGCAGCAGUAGGGAAUCUUCCGCAAUGGGCGAAAGCCUGACGGAGCAACGCCGCGUGAGUGAUGAAGGGUUUCGGCUCGUAAAACUCUGUUAUUAGGGAAGAACAAAUGUGUAAGUAACUGUGCACAUCUUGACGGUACCUAAUCAGAAAGCCACGGCUAACUACGUGCCAGCAGCCGCGGUAAUACGUAGGUGGCAAGCGUUAUCCGGAAUUAUUGGGCGUAAAGCGCGCGUAGGCGGUUUCUUAAGUCUGAUGUGAAAGCCCACGGCUCAACCGUGGAGGGUCAUUGGAAACUGGGAAACUUGAGUGCAGAAGAGGAAAGUGGAAUUCCAUGUGUAGCGGUGAAAUGCGCAGAGAUAUGGAGGAACACCAGUGGCGAAGGCGACUUU
rnacentral:rRNA from 1 species